rnacentral:rRNA from 1 species
AUUGAACGCUGGCGGCAGGCUUAACACAUGCAAGUCGAGCGAACGGCGGACGGGUGAGUCAUGUCUGGGAAACUGCCUGAUGGAGGGGGAUAACUACUGGAAACGGUAGCUAAUACCGCAUACCAUCAGAUGUUCCCAGAUGGGAUUAGCUAGUAGGUGGGGUAAUGGCUCACCAAGGCGACGAUCCCUAGCUGGUCUGAGAGGAUGACCAGCCAAAGUGGAACUGAGACACGGUCCAGACUCCUAAGGGAGGAAACAGUGGGGAAUAUUGCACAAUGGGCUCAAGCCUGAUGCAGCAAUGCCGCGUGUGUGAAGAAGGCCUUCGGGUGGUAAAGCACUUUCAGCGAGGAGGCGUUACUCGCAGAAGAAGCACCGGCUAACUCCGUGCCAGCAGCCGCGGUAAUAC